ensembl:lncRNA
GUUCUGUAAAAUGUGUUUUGUAUCGAUUGAUGAAGGAAGAGAAAGAGAAUGCCUAGUGCAAAAGGAAGGGAUAUAUACUUUCUAAGUCUUUCUCACCUCUCCCAUGAGGACUAAGAUAUAAAAACAAGGAAUUUUUCAUAAUAUUAGGGGACUUGGGCAACAACAACAAAAAAAUCCAAGUACUGCCACCAACAAACUGUCCUGCCAGAGGAUGGCACCAUCGUCCACCUCGUUUGUUUCACAGGCAAUUGCAAUAAUAAUAGACAAUGCAGUGAAAUUUGGUGAAACCGACAGCUUUGGGGCUCUUUACAAACUAGUCUGCCAAAAGUACAUCUCUUGAGUUUGCUUUUAGAUUGCAAUGAUACUGCAAAACUAUAGCUAAAGGAGUCUUCUCUUCUUCCAUGGUGAUUUCCAUGGUAGCAGUGGCAGCAGCAAUAGUAUUAAUAGCAGUAGUAAUAGAGGUACUAGUAAUACUAGCAGCAGUUAGCAUAGCCGUGGUAGUAUUGAUAGCAAUAACUACUCCUAUUUUCUGCUGCUGUAAUUCUACUAAUCCUGCUACUGCUAUUUCCACUACUCCUCUUUGUGUUAAGAUUUGGGGUUAAUACUUUGUAUAAUAUCAUCAUGUAUGCUGUUGUGUGUCAGGGGUCUUAGGUGCGCAUGGCUAAUGCUUGCAGUCAUUCCAUAGGGUGAACACUGUUACUCUCAUCUUGUAGGAGAGGAAACUAAAGCUCAGAAAAAUUGGGAUUCACAAGCUCACAAGUUACGGACUUGGGAGCUGGUUUUCUCAGGUGUAUCAUCCUUGGCCUCUCAUCUGCACCUCAAAAAUGUAGUCUUAGCUCCCUCCCUCAUAAUUCCUACCUACACAGAAUACACAGAUAGAUAUGAACGGUGGAGGAGUUUGAGCUUCACAGGGCUAUGCCGGAAGUCCAGAUGGUUGUCCAAAAAUGGCUUGCUUCCUUUGUGUUCACUGACACUGGCUUGUCUCAGAGGCUUCAAAGUUAUCUUAAUGUCAUUUCAAAGGCAAUUGACGGAGCAUCCAUGGAGAUAAAAUUGCGCAUGCAGCCUGUUGCUGAAUGCAUAUUAACUGCUAUUCACGGAUUUCCUAGCAACCAGAGCCCAGUGACGCACGGAGUUGGAGAAUCGGACUUCGGUGAUGCACUCGUCCAUUUCGUUUGACUACGGUACCCACAGCAGCUAGGACAGGAUCUGGCGCUUAAACUUCAACACGAAGAACAGAGGUCAGUAUCACAUAACUUCUGUACCAGCUGGAGGAAAGUAGAAGAUGCACUUGGUUCUAUUUUACAGAGAGACCAUCACAGAGAGACAUUGUGACGUCUCCAGCAACCUCAUCGUUUGCCAGCAUGCCUGAAAUAUGAUCAAGUCAGAGCUCUUCCUUCCCAAUGAGCUGUCUGGCGGGAAAAUGGACCUAAUUUUUCUCUUGAUUUUGUCUUGUUCUGAAAAAUGUACUUUAUUAGGUUUUCAAAAGAUUGAUUUUCUGGUAGUUUUUUUUUUUUUUUAUGAUAAUGUUUAAACACAGAUAGGAAGGAUAUCAAAACAUUAGAAGUUCUGUAUUAGAACUUUUAUAUUAGAAGUUCUGUGCAACCUAAAUAGGGAAGGGAUUGAAUUUAAAUAUAUAAAAUGGAAUAAGUGGAGUAUUUUCACAGUUCAAGGUUUCAGUUAUAGCAAUGUUUCCUUCUGCUAUGUCAAGAUUGUGACCUUCUAUGUCCAUUAUUAUUUUGAAGUGCUUAAAAGGCACUUACCCUUUUAUGUCCUAUUUUAACUGAAGCAGCAAGUUUUGGUGCUAUGGAAUUAAAUCUGAUCAAUUAUGGACAAUUUUAUGUAAUUUUUAUGCUUAUAUUAGAAAGAUUUAAUAGUGCCCUAAUUGCUUAAUAUGACUGCUUGGAUUUCAUUAAGAUAAAAUUGUAGUAGAUUAUCAUAAUAUUUAAUUGUGAACAAGAGACUUGACUUCAUUAUAGGGAGUUCUGACCAAAUACAUAAGUUGAACCCUGUGAUUCAGUUUCAUUCAGUUCAGUCUCACAAUUUCAGAUCCUACAACCAUAGUGGCUAUGCUGCUUCAAUAAUCCAGGUUUUCCCCUCUUCACACAAAGCUCAGUCAACACAUUAAUAAGCUCUGCACUCAGAAUUUUACACUAAUACAGAGUUCAGAAAACUAAGUUUUAAAGAUAUCCAAAUGUUUUUUUUGAAGUUUUGAUAUAUGCUUAUUAUU